CAGUCGCCACGGUAAUACGUAGGGUGCGAGCGUUAAUCAGAAUUACUGGGCGUAAAGCGUGCGCAGGCGGUUGUGUAAGACAGGUGUGAAAUCCCCGGGCUUAACCUGGGAACUGCGCUUGUGACUGCACAGCUAGAGUAUGGCAGAGAGGGGUGGAAUUCCACGUGUAGCAGUGAAAUGCGUAGAGAUGUGGAGGAACACCAGUGGCGAAGGCGACUCUCUGGUCUGUAACUGACACUGAGAGACGAAAGCUAGGGGAGCAAAUGGGAUUAGAUACCCGUGUAGUCCCUGUCUCUUAUAC
rnacentral:rRNA from 1 species